GACGAACGCUGGCGGCGUGCCUAAUACAUGCAAGUAGAACGAUGAAGGAGGAGCUUGCUCCUCUGGAUGAGUUGCGAAGGGGGGAGUAACGCGUAGGUAACCUGUCUCGUAGCGGGGGAGAACCAUUGGAAACGAUAGCUAAUACCGCAUAAGAGUAGUUGUCGCAUGACAUUCACUUAUAAGGUGCACUUGCAUCACUACCAGAUGGAUCUGCGGUGUAUGAGCUAGAGGUUGGGGUAACGGCUUACCAACGCGACGAUACAUAGACGACCGGCGAGGGGGCGCGGCAUCGCUGGGCCUGGGACACGGCCCAGCCUCCUGCGGGUGGCAGCCGUAGGGGAUUCUCGGGGAUGGCCGGAAGUCUGAACGAGCGACGCCGCGUGAGUGAAUGAGGUUUUCGGGUCGUGUAGCUCUGUUGUGAGUGAAGGACGAAAGUGAGAGUGGAACGUGCACAUUGUGACGGUACCUUAACAGAAAGCGACGGCUAACUACGUG
rnacentral:rRNA from 1 species